rnacentral:rRNA from 1 species
AGAGGGUGCGAGCGUUGUCCGGAAUCACUGGGCGUAAAGGGCGCGUAGGUGGCCUGGUAAGUAGGGGGUGAAAUCUCGCGGCUCAACUGCGAGGCUGCCUCCUAAACUGUCAGGCUCGAGCAGAGUAGAGGCAGGUGGAAUUCCCGGUGUAGCGGUGGAAUGCGUAGAGGUCGGGAAGAACAUCGGUGGCGAAGGCGGCCUGCUGGGCUCUUGCUGACACUGAGGCGCGACAGCGUGGGGAGCAAACAGGAUUAGAUACCCUGGUAGUCCACGCCGUAAACGAUGGGUACUAGGCGCCGGGGGGAGCGACCCCUUCGGUGCCGUCGCUAACGCAAUAAGUACCCCGCCUGGGGAGUACGGCCGCAAGGCUG